GAGCAAACAGGAUUAGAUACCCUGGUAGUCACGCUGUAAACGAUGUCGAUUUGGAGGUUGUUCCCUUGAGGAGUGGCUUCCGGAGCUAACGCGUUAAAUCGACCGCCUGGGGAGUACGGCCGCAAGGUUAAAACUCAAAUGAAUUGACGGGGGCCCGCACAAGCGGUGGAGCAUGUGGUUUAAUUCGAUGCAACGCGAAGAACCUUACCUACUCUUGACAUCCAGAGAAUUUAGCAGAGAUGCUUUAGUGCCUUCGGGAACUCUGAGACAGGUGCUGCAUGGCUGUCGUCAGCUCGUGUUGUGAAAUGUUGGGUUAAGUCCCGCAACGAGCGCAACCCUUAUCCUUUGUUGCCAGCACGUUAUGGUGGGAACUCAAAGGAGACUGCCGGUGAUAAACCGGAGGAAGGUGGGGAUGACGUCAAGUCAUCAUGGCCCUUACGAGUAGGGCUACACACGUGCUACAAUGGCGUAUACAAAGAGAAGCGACCUCGCGAGAGCAAGCGGAACUCAUAAAGUACGUCGUGGUCCGGAUUGGAGUCUGCAACUCGACUCCAUGAAGUCGGAAUCGCUAGUAAUCGUAGAUCAGAAUGCUACGGUGAAUACGUUCCCGGGCCUUGUACACACCGCCCGUCACACCAUGGGAGUGGGUUGCAAAAGAAGUAGGUAGCUUAACCUUCGGGAGGGCGCUUACCACUUUGUGAUUCAUGACUGGGGUGAAGUCGUAACAAGGUAACCA
rnacentral:rRNA from 1 species